rnacentral:sRNA from 1 species
AGUGCUCUGCUCACUUGGCUGCGAGGAUCGCCACGAAAGGUCAGAGGAAGGAGCUGUGGGAAGCUCGCAGCAGGUAUCGGAGCUUAAGCCAGUGGAUUUGGGGGCCCUGGGCUCCCUAGCCGGCUGCGGUGUGAGAAUGGAGUGGGCAGGAGAGCAGCGGGACUUUCAGGGCUCUGGGUUUGCAGAGAGCCGAAAUGACCAUGACUGCCAACAAGAAUUCCAGCAUCACCCACGGAGCUGGAGGCACUAAGGCCCCUCGGGGGACUCUGAGCAGAAAAUCCUUUGAGUUUGAGGAUGCAUCCAGUCUCCAGUCCCUGUACCCCUCUUCUCCCACUGAGAAUGGUACUGAGAACCAACCCAAGUUUGGAUCCAAAAGCACUUUAGAAGAAAAUGCCUAUGAAGAUAUUGUGGGAGAUCUGCCCAAGGAGAAUCCAUAUGAGGAUGUGGACUUAAAGAGCCGAAGAGCAGGACGAAAAUCCCAGCAACUGUCUGAGAACUCCUUGGACUCUUUGCACAGGAUGUGGAGUCCUCAGGACAGGAAGUACAACAGCCCGCCCACACAGCCUCAAUGAAGACAGCCUCAGCACCACCA